GCUAUUCGGAUUCGACUAAGCCAUGCGAGCUGAGAGUCUUCGGGACUCGGCAUACUGCUCAGUAAUAUGUAGUUAACCUAACCUAAAGUCAGGGAUAAUCUCGGGAAACUGAGGCUAAUACCUGAUGGACAUUCUGGUCUGGAAUGAUAGAAUGUCGAAAGAUCCGUCGCUUUAGGAUGGGACUAUAUUCUAUCAGCCUGUUGGGGGUGUAAUGUACCUCCAAAGCUAUAACGGGUACGGGCCAUGAGAGUGGAAGCCCGGAGAUGGAUUCUGAGACAUGAAUCCAGGUCCUACGGGACGCAGCAGGCGCGAAACCUUCACUAUGCAUUAGCGUGCGAUGAGGGAAUCUGAAGUGUUUAUGCUUUGCAUAAACUUUUUUCGAGUUGAAACAGCUCGGAGAAUAAGGGGUGGGCAAUACAAGUGCCAGCCGCCGCGGUAAUACUUGAGCCCCGAGUGGUACCCAGUAUUAGUUGGUCUAAAGCGUCCGUAGCCGGUUUAAUAAGUUCCUGGUGAAAUUCAUUGGAAAACUGAUGAGCUUGUCGGGAAUACUGUUAAACUUGGGAUCGGGAGAGGGUAGAGGUACUGCUGGGGAAGGGGUAAAAUCCUAUAAUCCUAGUGGGACCACCUGUGGCGAAGGCGUCUACCUAGGACGAGUCCGACGGUGAGGAACGAAACCUAGGGGAGCGAUCGGGAUUAGAUACCCCGGUAGUCCUAGG
rnacentral:rRNA from 1 species